GACAGGGUCUUGCUCUGUCGCCCAGGCUGCAGUGCGGUGGUGCGAUCUUGGCUCUCUGUAGCCGGGACUACAGGCGUCCGCCACCACGCCGACUAAUUUUUGUAUUUUUAGUAGAGACGGGGUUUCGCCAUGUUGCCCAGGCUGGUCUCGAACAUCUGGUCUCAAAUGAUCCGCCCGCCUCGGCCUCCCAAAGUUCUCGGAUUACAGGCGUGAGCCACUGCGCCCAGCCUGAAUUUUUAUUCCAAUAAUAACUGUAUUUUUGGACUUCCCGUUAUGUGCCCGGCACUGUGCGAUUGGACGCCAUUAGUCUCAUCAAACUAAAUUGAAAGCUUUUUAGAGAUGAACUUUCAGCGUCAUAAUGUGAUGAUUUAUUGUAGUCCCUGCCGACGGAACUUGAAAGGGAUGCAGAAGAAAAAGCCCUUCGCUUCAGCAAUUUACAGCCCAAAUGAGUUGAGCCAUAAUGAAGACGUCUCUUUAGGUGGCUGGAGACAGCUUCAGAGGAUACGGGGCGCUGCCUCUGUAGGGGUUAAAUCCACUACUUUUAUGCAGAAGUAACAGUGCCAGGGGUCACCCAAACUCCGGGAGACCAGGAUGGUGGGUGCUGGCUUCCGGGGUGGCAGUUUACCGCAAACUGUCCUUGGCUUGCACCUACUGAUUCUCCACGUGUGGCGGUUUCUUUUCUGCGUCUUUUUCUUCAUCGGAAGCGGACAGUGUGGGACCCCCCCUUUAAUUCUGUUCGGCACGUACAUAGUGGAGCCCUUCAGAUUGCCUGCCGUUACAUUAACACAUAGCCUAAUACCCUAGUGGAAUGAGCAUGUGCUUUGGAGUAAGGGACGUUGGGCGGCCCAUGUGUUAUGUUAGCUGUUUAAAUUGGGGCAGUGAAUCUGAUGUCAGCAAAUCACAGAAGAAAAGAGAUGCUGCUGACAAACCAAGAGGAUUUGCCACAGGUCUUGAUCCUGAAAGAGUAAUUGGUGCCACAGAUGGCAGCGGAAAAUGGAUGUUUCUCAUGAGGUGGAAAGAUUCAGAAUGAAGAAGAUACCCAGCAGAUGUGUGCCAAGAUUCUACAAAUGGUAC
rnacentral:lncRNA from 1 species